rnacentral:rRNA from 1 species
GACGAACCGUGCGAACGUUGUUCGGAAUCACUGGGCGUAAAGGGCGCGUAGGCGGCUUUAUAAGUCGGGGGUGAAAGCCUGUGGCUCAACCACAGAAUUGCCUUCGAUACUGUAGAGCUUGAGACCGGAAGAGGUAAGUGGAACUGCGAGUGUAGAGGUGAAAUUCGUAGAUAUUCGCAAGAACACCAGUGGCGAAGGCGGCUUACUGAUCC